AACGAACGCUGGCGGCAGGCUUAACACAUGCAAGUCGAGCGGAGAUGAGGUGCUUGCACCUUAUCUUAGCGGCGGACGGGUGAGUAAUGCUUAGGAAUCUGCCUAUUAGUGGGGGACAACAUUCCGAAAGGAAUGCUAAUACCGCAUACGCCCUACGGGGGAAAGCAGGGGAUCUUCGGACCUUGCGCUAAUAGAUGAGCCUAAGUCGGAUUAGCUAGUUGGUGGGGUAAAGGCCUACCAAGGCGACGAUCUGUAGCGGGUCUGAGAGGAUGAUCCGCCACACUGGGACUGAGACACGGCUCAGACUCCUACGGGAGGCAGCAGUGGGGAAUAUUGGACAAUGGGCGGAAGCCUGAUCCAGCCAUGCCGCGUGUGUGAAGAAGGCCUUUUGGUUGUAAAGCACUUUAAGCGAGGAGGAGGCUACCUGGAUUAAUACUCUAGGAUAGUGGACGUUACUCGCAGAAUAAGCACCGGCUAACUCUGUGCCAGCAGCCGCCGUAA
rnacentral:rRNA from 1 species